rnacentral:rRNA from 1 species
CGAAAGGUCAAGGAAGUUGGUGACCUGAUGACAGGGGAGCUGGCGACCGAAGCCCCAGUGAACGGCGGCCGCAACUAUAACGGUCCUAAGUUAGCGAAAUUCCUUGUCGGGUAAGUUUUGACCUAAACGAAAGGCGUAAUGAUCUAGGCACUGUAUUGGAGAGAGGCUCGAUGAAAUAGACAUGUCUGUGAAGAUGCGGACUACCUGCACCUGGACAAAAAGACCCUAUGAAGCUUCACU